UACGUAGGGCGCAAGCGUUGUCCGGAAUUAUUGGGCGUAAAGAGCUCGUAGGCGGUCUGUCACGUCUGCCGUGAAAACCCGAGGCUUAACCUCGUGGCUUGCGGUGGAUACGGGCAGACUAGAGGUAGGUAGGGGAGAACGGGAAUUCCCGGUGUAGCGGUGAAAUGCGCAGAGUAUCGGGAGGAACACCGGUGGCGAAGGCGGUUCUCUGGGCCUU
rnacentral:rRNA from 1 species